AUGAUCAAAGGACAACAAAUUGACAUGGAACUUGAUACUGGAUCAUCUGUCUCCAUGAAACCAGAGACGUUCUAUAGGGAAAAUCUUGAUGUUCCACUUCAAAAGACCAGAAGCAAGCUAAAUACAAUUUCGGGUGAGAGCAUUAAUCCCUUGGGCAUGCUUCGCAGUGGAAUCAGCGAUACCAACGUGGAACCAGUUAUAGAUAUACCGGAAGUCGUCGUUCCAACAGCAACUCAUACCGCAGGAGGAAAUGAUGCGAUUCCUCCAACUGUAUUGAUAUCUCCGGUAGUGUCAGAAAAACCUUCCAAACCUUCCACAAGUGUGCCAACUCCAAUGGUUCGACGCUAUCCUCAAAGAGAGAGACGGGCUACAAAGAAGCUUAAACUGUGA
rnacentral:sRNA from 1 species